UAGAGGACAUAGCGUCAGUUAAGGAUGUGUGGAAAUGGAGGAGUGGUCCUAUUUUAGCAGCAGCUCUAAAUGCACCUUUUGAAUUCAAGAGCAAGUUUGACAUUAUUCUCAACUUUACUUACGACAAGUCUGACAAAGAAUGCACAUUUUUGUCCUACCACAGUCCAGCAUUAUUUAGAAAAAGGAAAAAUACCAACAAAA